GACAUUCUGUGGCAGAAAAGAAUGAAGGAAAGAACAGUUAAAAACCAGCCACUAUCAAACAAUGAUAGUUCAAAAUUUCUACCUUUGAGAAAGGCACAGCAACUUUCAAGGGGGUCAUAUCUUCAAACAAAAGGAUUGUUCAGGAUCAAAUACACUUUCAGGCAAAGGAUUUCAACUUGCUCACUAAUUUUCUUCUUUAUAUUGUUCUCCCCAUUUUACGUGGUCUUCGGUUAGAAAGAAGCCAGGUGCUGUCUCUAAAGCAGUGCUGCAAUGACAGCAGGAAGAGCUGAGGGAGCCGGUUUAAUGCAGCCUUUACAAACAACCUGAGGAGCUCAGGCAAUCGCUGCUGCCUUUCAGCACAGUGGUGGCUUUUGCUGUAACCUCCACUAAUGGGUGACUGUCUUUGAUAGAUCUUUCGAAGUCCAGUUAAAGCAGCAAAAUUCUCCUUGACAGCAAACACAGCUUUGUUUUUUUGAAACAUUUUUUUGGUACAUUAUCACAUAGAUCAUUCACAAACUGGACUUACUUGGGUCAGUGAUCCAGAAAACAGCUUAUCCAGUUAGACUUGAGCUUUGCCCAUUAAACUUUGUCUCAAAAUCUGAGUAUGUUUACAACAGAGAAACCUUUCAGUCAUGCUUACAGUACCAGCCAUCUACUGCUUAUAUCUGAAAGGAAAGCAAUCCAGCAUCCCUCUACAUGGGGUAAUCAAAUGGAGAAACAAUCGAGUCAAACUCAAGACAUCCCUGCUUCUUUUUGCCCUUUGUUACUCCAAUGAGGAAACUGCAACUCUACAAGUGAAGAAAAAUAACAGUUCACAAGAUAUUCCUCCAUCCAGUGUUGGAACUGCCAAUCUGUGCCUAUUUGUGCAGGGAUUGUGAGCAACUCCAACACAGACCAUGGGCAUGGUUUAGAUUUAUGAAUGGACACAAAGGGCCUCCACUCAAAGAAAUGGGAACAUAUAAAGAAUGGCUGCUAAAAGGGUAAAAUAUACGUGCAAAUGGUCAUUCCUGAAAAGCAACAUUCAGUGCUGAAAUAGCCCUGGAGUUACCGUGGCAGAGAAUGGCACAGCUCUCACCUUGCUUCACACACUGCUUUUAACCCAAUCUUAUUUCAAGUGUCAUUGUCCAAAACGCCCUGACCAACUGUUUCAAGGUGACACUGGAAUGCUUGGAACUUCUUUUUCACUUUUAUUUUUUGAUGUAUAUGUGUGAAAUCAUUCUUAACUGUUGCUAACAAAGAGUUGGUAUUUUUUUCUAUUUCUGUAUGAAAGACUAGCCCUCCUUUUUUUAUAUAAGCACAUACACUUUCACUCAUUGUAUUUGACCUAAACCUUCUGUUUUUAUUUGACACUUUAUUUAUGUAUAAAAUUUACUAUAUCAAGAUAUUAUAAGUCAAUAGAAGAAGCAUUUACAUUAUAAUGAGCAUGCAGCUAUUUCAACCUGAUUGACCUUGUUACAGCUUGUCAUUCAAUUUUUUAAUUAAAAAGAUGCAAUUUUGUUUCUAUAGAACACCCAAGGAAGAUGAAAUUCUGAGCCAAAAAUAAACCAAAACUCCUCUGGAACUCAUAAAGAAACGUCUUAUCAUAUUCCAGUGUGAAAGGUCAUUGAUUUACUGCCUCUGACUAAUUAUAAUAACUUGAAAAACAGAAUGUUUCUUACCUUCAUUAAUAUUUUUCUUUACUAUAGGGAUAGAGGUCUGAGACUUGGACAAAACAAGGAAGGUCAUAAAUAGAGCAUCAUUCUUUCACUCCUUUGAGAAUCUACUGAAGUCUUCAGAGAAGCAAGUCAUUUAAGAAUGUGCUUAAAUGUCCCUUGUCACUAAAGAACAUCCACAUUCUUCUCUUUUCUUGGAGAUUUAGGUAUCUUUUUGCUGUACUUGGUUGAAUUGAGGAAUCAUUCUAAAUUCAGAGAUAGAACAGAAUUUGUACUGUAAGACAGGGAAAUAUAAAAAAAAAUUCCAACUUGCUCAUAAAAAAGAAUUUUAGGAUUAUUUGUUGACUUUGUAUCAGGGAUGAAAGAAGAUUUGAUACAAGAAUACUGCUUUGACAAUGGUGCUUUGCACUGAGGAUUGCUUCUUGAGCUUUUCUUUCCAGAGUCUGAUACCUAUGAAUAGCCCUCCUUUGUGGUGGCAAGUUCUCAAAAGCAGCUGUUCCUAUCAAAAUGGUUUUGGGAUCAGUAUUUCAAGGAGCAAAGGAUAUACUACAACUGUUUUACCUAAUCAAGCCAAGCCCAGCAGUGUUCAGCAGGUGAUGCCAAAGAGGUGUUACAGAUGUUGUGACCAGUUAUAUUGUUAUAUUCUUAUUACUUUCUACAGAAUUUUAUAAUCAUUUUUCAAACAUUAAUCCAAGACAUUAAAUCAAGAAUUGCACUUGAAGUUUAAAAAUAAACUCAGGACUGUAAAUGUUCAUAUGUGUUAAUAAUAAUGUCGCCAACCCAAACUAAGCAGAACCAAGUGUAGCAUCACCUGGCAUAUGAAAUUCCUGAUCUGAGUGAAGCCCUCAGAAGUCAAUAUCAGUAAGUCUGUCUGCUGACAUAAGCAAGCUUGCCAAACACCAAACCAAAUGUGGGUCAUUCUGAAAGCUAUUUUUUUUCUGGUUUCUCCUGGAAAACUGCAUUGUGGCACUUUUAUUUUUUCCCCAAGAGUCAAUUAAAAAAUGAAUGCAGGAGGAAGGAUUUUUUGCUGAAGGAAGUAUCUUCUUGAUCCUAGAUGAUUACAGAUUUAAUGACUCAUUUCAUUAGCUGACACUGCUCCGAAUGGCUUUUGUUAAGAAACUAUCAAUCACUGCUGGAAAUUCAGCUUCAAGUAUUUGCAAACAAUUAACGGCCAAGAUGGAUGACAGGGGAUGGAGAGGAAGGACGUGGCAGGAGGUGCUAUGAUGUUGUAGAGCCUGUUGUCUGCAACCAGAUGUCCAUUGCUCAGCCCAUUCCACAGGCUCUCCGCAGUGAUUUCCUGCAGAGCACAAACCAACGAAGGGACCUUUGCCUCGGGGCUGCACCUACAAAGCCGUGAACUCUCCAGCAUCGUGCAUUUACCUCCAGCAAAGGGACACCUUGUCAUCCACUGUCACUGAAUGACAUCCAAUUCAUCCUUGCCACUAGAUGACAGCACAGCAACACACAUCCAGGAAGGAACCUGUAUUUUGCUAUGGGUUAAGACUUCCUGGAGACACAGGUUUCAGGAAUUUUAGGACUAGCCCCAUAGAGGCAAGAGAUGACAUGGAAUUUCUGUGACUUUGGACUUCUCCAUCCAACAUGAGUGAUGAGAUGGAACUUGCUGAGCAGGACAAAAGCCUCACCAGCACUGGAAGGCUCUGCAGCUGGAUGGUUUCCUGGUGUUUGUACAGGUAAAGUAGAAAGUAGGAGAAGGUGGAGGCCAGCAACCCUCAAUGCUAAAACAUGGACCUAGCUACUAAAUCCAAAUGUCUGAGGAAGGUAUUUGGUGCAAGAAGAAAUUAGGAUCCUUUUGAGAUCAGAUGUCUUCUGAUGUUUCAGUUUCACAAGUCUUUUUUCCUGGGACUUCAGGAGCAGAGUAGACCUUUACAUAUUCUACAGCUCUAUGAAGAUAUUGGAAGAUUAAAGAACACUGGUACUGAUGAAUGCUUUGGACUGAAAAACACUGAUGAUUCUGUCAUUAUUUCAUGAACACUUCUUGACACACUCAGGAUUUCUGGUAAAAUACUUUUGUCAGAUGUUCUGAUGAGAAAUUAAAGAUAACUAAGGGAAAAAACCCUAUGAAUUCAAUUUCAUGAACAUGAAUUCUGGAGCGUUGAUGCAAACAAGCAUCUUCCUUUCUUCUCUUUUUCUCCACUCUAAUCAUUACUAAUGUUGCACUUUUCUUCCAAAAAGAGAAAGAAGAGGGCUACCACACAAACAAAUCCCUGCUCCAAACUUCUAUAAUCCAGCCCACUUCCUGUGGGAAGUGCAGGGAGGUGGAAUACAUGAUCUAUUGAGAUUCUCUUCAAUUUCUUUCUUAAGAAUUCUUAAGAAAUCUUCAGAUUUCUUUCUUAAGUCAUUGUAGUCCUUGAGUUUGAAUUAAUGCAAUGUUUAUUUAUAUUAAUUCUUCACCCCUUAAGAAGGAAGAUAUAGGAGUAGGUCAAUAUUCCUGUGCCACAAGACAGGCCUCUACACCGGACUCUAAGGAAAAGAGUCUCUCAUGGUAGAAUAAUCUAGAAGUAAUUAACUGUUCCUUCAAAUGAAGUCUUGGAAUGGUCUCCCAUAUUUGUGCGAGCACUCUACCUUGAGGAUAUUUUGAGAUCAAUCACAGUCUCUUUCCUUUCCUCUGCCCUUUCCCAGAAAUUUCUGAACAUAAGACUUUAAAUUUGCUUGUCAAAAAUAUGGUACAUUCCUGAGAAGACUUUUGCUUUUGAAAACCAUACUUUUCCAAGAAACAGUCUUGUUCCCAAAUUUUUUCCAGUCAACAGGUGGGGAGAAGGUUUAUGGUUUUCUGUGUGGCAAAAAAGAAAGGAGGAAAAACUGUGGAUUUAAUUUCAGUGUAACAUUUUAAACCACCCCCUAGCCUGCCCUCCCCCCCCAAUAAAGAACCCCCAAAAUCCUGUCCUGCUUAUCUGUCCUUUCUUAAAUGUGCACAUGUCUAGUCCUGAAUUAUUAGAGUGCUUUCCUCCACGUUUGGUCAGUCCCUGAUAAUUAGUGCUAUUGCAUAUGUGUGAUGGUGACACAACAGGACUGCAAUAUAUUAGCAUUUUGUGACCAAUUCUUUAACAUGUUUACCAUUUUCCUCAUAAUUCUGCUUUCUUUCAAAGGGUAAGGAGAAAUUACAGCCCACUGAGAAAAGGAGGAGAGAAUAGUUUUGUGUGGGCAGAGAAUAAGUGUAUUACAGGACUUUGUGAUUUUCUUUCAUCUAUUUUUUUCUAUUUGAUAAUAGAACUGGUUGAUACCAUACAGGGCAUACUUUAUCAUGGGCAAAAAAUGUGUAGGAGAAGAAACCCCAAGCAUGCCAUUAAUUGCUUAUAAAUACAUGUUCUCAACACUUGCAAUCAGCCUUCAGGAUUUCUAACCUCUAAGUUCUGUUCAAUUCCUGCAUUUGAAUAAAAUUAUCAACUUGUAUCUUUUCUAGCAUGAUUAAACACAUUGCUUGCAGGCAGGUUAUGAUUAAAUAGGAAAGAUUUGCAUUUUUUGAAGUACACAGCCUCUGUGUCUCUCUGUAGGUGUGUCUCUGCCUAUCCAUGUCCCAGUAUAAACUUCCAUAUGUGUGCAUACACACAUGAAUGUGUGUGUCAAGUGGGGAGCAGGAAAGAGGAACUAAAGCUAAGUUACAAAGCUGGAAUGAUUUAGAUGUUCAGGCCAGAUUCUUCAGUCUUCUGCACCCAAUUGCAUCCAAUGUAACAUCCAUAAGAAUUCAAGAUUCACUCAUUUCUCAGGGAAGUUUAGAUCCAAGAUACUGAGCCUUUCCCACUCUUACAAACACAUAGCUUGAGGAGCUCAGCUGGAGGUUGUUGUUUCUUUCCUAGAAGAUCUGUGUUUUAAAAGCAAGUAGGAAUAAGAAAUGAAACUCAGCUUGCUGAAAGCUUUUUCUUUAGACAGUCAUGCCUUGCAUAUGUAUGGUUGCACCUGCAAACAGUAUAGGAAUAUUUGUGCAGGCCUAUUGAAAAGCUGGCCAUAAAAGUAAUUUUCCUCACAGCCAUGGCUAUAAAAAAAUUUCCUUACCAAAAUUUUACAUGCUUUUAUAUCUGUUUUUAUUUCCCUUAUUAUUUACUACCAUUCUGCUUUCCCGCCCACCCUACACAGUACCAGGGCCGUGCUUGAGAGAGACACAAACAUUCUCUCAUGUUAUGAUCUGAUGCUAUAAUGUGUUCUGGUACUGCAGUAAUAAAUGAGAAAAUUAGUGCCAGUAGUAGAACAUAUCAGUACACAACAGGAUAAACCACGAGCAAUGGCAGAAAGGGAAAUAUCUCUUGUCUGUUCUGUGGUAAUUGUGAAUAAGGUGGGCACUUCUGCUGAUCAUGUGCCUGCCUAACUUCACUCUUCCAUCACUUGUCUCGUUUAACACUGAUGCAACACCACUUUUGAAUUAAGAUCAACUGCCAUUGGUAAAAACAAGGUAAAGUUAAGCCUCCUCUAUCUAAAUAUCAUCCAGUAGAUCUUCUUUUCCUCAAAAUCUCUACCUUUUCUCUGCCUGUGGCCAGUUAAGUAGGAGGCUUCUUGUUCUUCUAGGGCAGGACAUUUAAUUUGCUGUUGCUGUUCAUUUUGUCAAUCAGCUUCAAGGGCUGCACUGUCAGUUACAGUCCCAGAGAGCCAAAAUGCAGAGAAAGGCCAUGUGACCAUUUGCAUUUGCACUUCCAUCAUGAGAGUCAGGAGUUUAUCACGUUAAUAAGAUUGUGGUAAGAAGAAUGCUAUCUAAGUAUGACAAAUUCUAAUGUCUUAGGAUCCACACUAGGACAGUACAGCCUUUGUCUUCAUUCAUGGACUUGCAUUACAGCACUGAUGAGAGACUCUACUGUACUGCUCAGCAGAGACACUUGCAAUGUAAAUAGCAGGACAGACAAAAGAGAGGAAAAAGCAGAAUCUUUAUUCUAGUCAGGCCUUCUGGGUCUCCAUGAGAUUAAAUGAUCUCUCCAAGGCUGUACAAGUAGUCUGUGGCUGUGACAGUUUUCUGUACUUCAUAGUAAUUUGUAAACCUCUGUGCCACAACCAACAAGUUUUCAAGUUGCCUUUUGAUCUGUAUUUCAUACUGAGAUCUUCUGCCUCAAAAUAAGGUCAUGGCUACUCAACUUUGAGGAAGUUUGAUGCCUUUCACCAUGGUUACCACACCUGGGAAAUACUGAGCAGUUUAAUUUUCUGAUUUGUCUCACUCACAGUUCUGCCCACAUGGACUGCAGCACGGUGGUGGGGCACCAAUUUACCCUUCAGGCAUUCUCCUGGCUUUGCAACCUGUUAGUGCAAAUGGGAUUCUGCCUUUUGUCUUCUGGAAUUUGUGAUUCUGAUACUACUCAGCAGGAGUCAAUGAUCCUUUGUGGCAAAAAAAUUAUAAAUAUUUAACCUCGUCUAUAACAGGACAUUUACCAAGAUUCAAGUCCUUAAAAUUAAGGACUAAGAGUAGUUCUGAAAAUGUAUUUGAUAGACACAAAGCAAAAAGAUUUCAGAAAAGUCAUGUAUGCUGUAACACCACUGAUUUCAGGAAAAUUGUGCCAAGUAAAUUUGGCCCAUUUGCUUCUCUCUUAUGUGGGGGGUAAGGGAUACUCAAAACUGACAGUCAGAAAGGACUAACACAUUCACAGAUAAUUCAUAUGAAAGGAGCUUGACUGUACAGUUGAUUAGGAAGUAGAAAUGACUGUAGCUGGACAAGAAAAAUCCAGAAUUAUUUUGGUACUUGCGUGGACUGCACUUAGAAUGUUUGGGAAUAGCAUCCAUAAGGUGCUAAAAUUCUCUAAUAAGCCAAAUGUGUAUUUGGGUAUGUCGGAAAAUCAGUUGAAAAGACUAAGAAAAGGUGGUUACACAUAUGGGGCAAUGCUAGCAUGACAGAUGGUAUUUGUUUUAUUUAUGCCUUCACAACUGUGUUUAUGUUCUUUCAAUAAGCCUGUCUGGGUGGAGUCUUGCAGAGAGGUUGUACAGGCUCCUUCCUCAGGGAAGCUGUGGAGUGUGUUGAGAUAGAAACAAUUCCAGGCUUCAUGGGGCCAGCAAAAGAGAUACAGAAUGAAGAUGAUGGCUUGAAGCUCAUGCAAAGACACUGCAGAGAUGAGGAGGGUGAAACCAGGCAAAUCUCACAACAGAUGUUCCUUUCCAAGGAGCAAGAGAACAGAAUUUGCUCAGUGACUUAGGAAGUCAUGAAGUUAACUGGGAUCAUCCAACAACCUUCAAGGACAGAGGGACAUGGGACAGCUACAUACAAAACCUUGUAAUGCAGUUCUGUCUCCCCCAACCUGUUUUAAAUAGCAUUUAAUAAAAAAGUUUCACUUCUA